AGUUGUACCUGCUCGGUGAAUUGUUUUUAACAGCUGCGGUAUUAUAACUGUACUAAGGUAGCAUAAUAACUUGCCUUAUAAAUUGGGGCUAGAAUGAAUGGUUUGACGAAAGUUAUGCUGUCUCUACUUUAAUUGGUUGAAUUUAAUUUUUAAAGUGAGAAAGCUUAAAUGAUUUAAAGGGACGAGAAGACCCUAUUGAGCUUUAAAUAUUGAUUUAAAUUGGGAAAUAAUUAUUUAAGUUUGAUAAUUUUGGUUGGGGUGAUCAAGGAGUUAGUGAUAUCGUAUCUUCCUUAAAUGAUUGUUGUGAUGAGAAUAUAUGUGUAUAAAUAAACCGAUUUUUUUUGCUAUUAAGAUAAGUUACCAUAGGGAUAACAGCGUAAUUUUUUUUGAGAGUUCAUAUUAAAAAAAGAGAUUGCGACCUCGAUGUUGGAUUAAAAUUACCUUAAGGUGGAGAAGCUUUAUUUGGUGAA
rnacentral:rRNA from 1 species